rnacentral:rRNA from 1 species
GACGAACGCUGGCGGCGUGCUUAACACAUGCAAGUCGAACGGACUACUUUGCUUCGGUAAGGUGGUUAGUGGCGAACGGGUGAGUAACGCGUAGACAACCUACCUCUUAGAUGGGGACAACAUCGCGAAAGCGGUGCUAAUACCGAAUGAAGUUACUUUCCUGCAUGGGAGAGAUACUAAAGGUGGCCUCUAUUUAUAAGCUACCACUGAGAGAUGGGUCUGCGUCUGAUUAGCUAGUUGGCGGGGUAACGGCCCACCAAGGCGACGAUCAGUAGCCGGUCUGAGAGGAUGAACGGCCACAUUGGGACUGAGACACGGCCCAAACUCCUACGGGAGGCAGCAGUGGGAAAUCUUCCGCAAUGGACGAAAGUCUGACGGAGCAACGCCGCGUGAGUGAAGAAGGUUUUCGGAUCGUAAAGCUCUGUUGUUUGAGACGAAUGUGCCUGUUUCGAAUAGGGAUAGGUAAUGACGGUAUUAAACGAGAAAGCCACGGCUAACUACGUGCCAGCCGCCGCGGUAA